UGGGGAAUAUUGCACAAUGGGGGAAACCCUGAUGCAGCGACGCCGCGUGGAGGAAGAAGGUCUUCGGAUUGUAAACUCCUGUUGUUGAGGAAGAUAAUGACGGUACUCAACAAGGAAGUGACGGCUAACUACGUGCCAGCAGCCGCGGUAAAACGUAGGUCACAAGCGUUGUCCGGAAUUACUGGGUGUAAAGGGAGCGCAGGCGGGAAGACAAGUUGGAAGUGAAAUCUAUGGGCUCAACCCAUAAACUGCUUUCAAAACUGUUUUUCUUGAGUAGUGCAGAGGUAGGCGGAAUUCCCGGUGUAGCGGUGGAAUGCGUAGAUAUCGGGAGGAACACCAGUGGCGAAGGCGGCCUACUGGGCACCAACUGACGCUGAGGCUCGAAAGUGUGGGUAGCAAACAGGAUUAGAUACCCUGGUAGUCCACACCGUAAACGAUGAUUACUAGGUGUUGGAGGAUUGACCCCUUCAGUGCCGCAGUUAACACAAUAAGUAAUCCACCUGGGGAGUACGACCGCAAGGUUGAAACUCAAAGGAAUUGACGGGGGCCCGCACAAGCAGUGGAGUAUGUGGUUUAAUUCGACGCAACGCGAAGAACCUUACCAAGUCUUGACAUCCCUUGACGAACAUAGAAAUAUGUUUUCUCUUCGGAGCAAGGAGACAGGUGGUGCAUGGUUGUCGUCAGCUCGUGUCGUGAGAUGUUGGGUUAAGUCCCGCAACGAGCGCAACCCUUAUGGUCAGUUACUACGCAAGAGGACUCUGGCCAGACUGACGUUGACAAAACGGAGGAAGGUGGGGAUGACGUCAAAUCAUCAUGCCCUUUAUGACUUGGGCUACACACGUACUACAAUGGCGUUAAACAAAGAGAAGCAAGACCGCGAGGUGGAGCAAAACUCAGAAACAACGUCCCAGUUCGGACUGCAGGCUGCAACUCGCCUGCACGAAGUCGGAAUUGCUAGUAAUCGUGGAUCAGCAUGCCACGGUGAAUACGUUCCC
rnacentral:rRNA from 1 species